rnacentral:rRNA from 1 species
UCGAGAAUAUUCGGCAAUGGGCGAAAGCCUGACCGAGCGACGCCGCGUGCGGGAUGAAGGCCUUCGGGUUGUAAACCGCUGUCGGGGGGGAUGAAAUAUCAGUGGGUUCUCCCAUUGGUUUGACAGAUCUCCGGAGGAAGGGUGGGCUAAGUUCGUGCCAGCAGCCGCGGUAAGACGUACCACCCAAACGUUAUUCGGAAUCACUGGGCUUAAAGAGUCCGUAGGCGGCUCGGAAAGUUGGGUGUGAAAUACCUCGGCUCAACCGAGGAACUGCACUCAAAACUACCAAGCUUGAGAGAGACAGAGGUAAGCGGAACUGAUGGUGGAGCGGUGAAAUGCGUUGAUAUCAUCAGGAACACCGGUGGCGAAAGCGGCUUACUGGGUCUCUUCUGACGCUGAG